GCUUUCCUGUGACUCAGUUGGUAGAGCAUUGCGCAAGCAUCGUAAAGGUCAUGGGUUCAUAUCCCAGGGUAAGCA